AAACUGCGAAAAGUAAUGUGACCUGCACUCUUUGUGAAACAUCUAGUAUUUGAACGCAACUUGCACCACUCUGUAAAUGGAGUGGUAUACUUGUUUGAGUAUCCUACAACGAUUACAGCAAUGUAGAAUUGAGGAACAGCAGAGUUCCUUGAAACGGAGAUAUGACAAACUGGGAUAAUAUCCAAACAGUCUGUUUUUUGGCAAUGCCUAACGGAAAAGAUCUCAAAUCAAGUAAGAUGACCCGCCGGAUUUAA
rnacentral:misc_RNA from 1 species